rnacentral:rRNA from 1 species
UACGGAGGGUGCGAGCGUUGUCCGGAAUCACUGGGCGUAAAGGGCGCGUAGGCGGCCCGGCAAGUCAGUGGUGAAAGCCCGAGGCUCAACUUCGGGUCGGCCACUGAUACUGCGGGGCUCGAGUCGACUAGAGGCAGAUGGAAUUCCGGGUGUAGCGGUGGAAUGCGUAGAUAUCGGAAGGAACACCUGUGGCGAAAGCGGCUCACUGGACCAUUACUGACGCUGAGGCACGAAAGCUAGGGGAGCAAACAGG